GACGAACGCUGGCGGCGUGCUUAACACAUGCAAGUCGAACGGAAAGGCCCUGCUUUUGUGGGGUGCUCGAGUGGCGAACGGGUGAGUAACACGUGAGUAACCUGCCCUUGACUUUGGGAUAACUUCAGGAAACUGGGGCUAAUACCGGAUAGGAGCCCCUGCUGCAUGGUGGGGGUUGGAAAGUUUCGGCGGUUGGGGAUGGACUCGCGGCUUAUCAGCUUGUUGGUGGGGUAGUGGCUUACCAAGGCUUUGACGGGUAGCCGGCCUGAGAGGGUGACCGGCCACAUUGGGACUGAGAUACGGCCCAGACUCCUACGGGAGGCAGCAGUGGGGAAUAUUGCACAAUGGGCGGAAGCCUGAUGCAGCAACGCCGCGUGCGGGAUGACGGCCUUCGGGUUGUAAACCGCUUUCGCCUGUGACGAAGCGUGAGUGGCGGUAAUGGGUAAAGAAGCACCGGCUAACUACGU
rnacentral:rRNA from 1 species